ACAAAUUCAACGGCCGCGGUAUUUUGACCGUGCAAAGGUAGCGCAAUCACUUGUCUUUUAAAUAGAGACCUGUAUGAAUGGCUAAACGAGGGCUUAACUGUCUCCCUUUUCAGGUCAGUGAAAUUGAUCUACCCGUGCAGAAGCGGGUAUAACAAUACAAGACGAGAAGACCCUUUGGAGCUUAAGGUACAAAACUCAACCACGUCAAGCAACUUAAUAAAAAAUAAAAACUUUGUGAAACAUGAGAUUUUACCUUCGGUUGGGGCGACCGCGGAGGAAAAAAAAGCCUCCAAGUGGACCGGGACAAACUCCUAAAACCAAGAGAAACAUCUCUAAGCCACAGAACAUCUGACCAAACAUGAUCCGGCCACCAGGACCGAUCAACGAACCAAGUUACCCUAGGGAUAACAGCGCAAUCCCCUCCCAGAGUCCAUAUCGACGAGGGGGUUUACGACCUCGAUGUUGGAUCAGGACAUCCUAAUGGUGCAGCCGCUAUUAAGGGUUCGUUUGUUCAACGAUUAAAGUCCUACGUGAUC
rnacentral:rRNA from 1 species